GAUGAACGCUGGCGGCGUGCCUAAUACAUGCAAGUCGAGCGAACAGACGAGGAGCUUGCUCCUCUGACGUUAGCGGCGGACGGGUGAGUAACACGUGGAUAACCUACCUAUAAGACUGGGAUAACUUCGGGAAACCGGAGCUAAUACCGGAUAAUAUAUUGAACCGCAUGGUUCAAUAGUGAAAGACGGUUUUGCUGUCACUUAUAGAUGGAUCCGCGCCGCAUUAGCUAGUUGGUAAGGUAACGGCUUACCAAGGCAACGAUGCGUAGCCGACCUGAGAGGGUGAUCGGCCACACUGGAACUGAGACACGGUCCAGACUCCUACGGGAGGCAGCAGUAGGGAAUCUUCCGCAAUGGUCGAAAGCCUGACGGAGCAACGCCGCGUGAGUGAUGAAGGUCUUCGGAUCGUAAAACUCUGUUAUUAGGGAAGAACAAAUGUGUAAGUAUCUAUGCACGUCUUGACGGUACCUAAUCAGAAAGCCACGGCUAACUACGUG
rnacentral:rRNA from 1 species